UUCCAACAAGUCCAACAUGUGACUCCUCCGUUGGAUAUCGUUCGAGCUGUAAAACUAUUAUCAACCUGAUUUGAUUGACGAAUCUUCGAAACUUGGAACGUGUUCCAUCAAACUUAUCUGGAAGGCUAACUCGAGGCUCCUUAUGUUGUAGAACUAGUAGUUCUUGUCAAACCUGAGGUAAAGUUGUUUCUCCAAGUGCCGAAAUUUGAGGCUGGUGUAGUUUAGAUUGUGCUAUCCCAGAUACUCCAUCAUUAUGAAGCCUUGCCACCACUCUUUCAAUCUCUGCAGUUCUUUGUGAUAAUGUAGCGAGGGCAUUCAUAAUAGCAUCUAACUUAGACUCCAAACUUUCUGUCAUACUAAUGUCUUGACCUCCGGCCAUUCUAAAAGAAGGACAAAAAUGACCCUAUAAGAGGCAAUAUUGGUUUAUAGGAGGGUAAUCCACAACCUAUAAAACGCCUUAAGAAUUUCAAGAAGAGGAGUUAUCCACUCUCUCCAAGAAGAAUAAGACUCCAAUAUUGUAACAGAAGAAGUAUCAGUUUAGAGGAAGGUAAUCCGCAACCUCUAAAAAAUGCUAGUAUAUCUUCAAGUAGAGGGGUAAUCCACACUCUACUAAGAAAGAACUAGCUCUGAUAUCUC
rnacentral:lncRNA from 1 species